GGAGGGUAAGCUAAUCCGGUGAAAGCAUCUGGUUGAAUCCCAGAAGAGGUUGGUCCGACACCAACACUCUCCACCA
rnacentral:tRNA from 1 species